rnacentral:lncRNA from 1 species
CAAAAAACUAGCAUCACAGUGAAGAGAGCUGCCAGCUCUUCUGUCUGACCACUACGGGCAACUCUCCAUCUAUCCCUCCUGAUUCCUUUAUGGACAACUCUCCAUCUAUUCCACCUGAUUCCUCUAUGGACAACUCUCCAUCUAUUCCGCCUGAUUCCUCCAUGGGCAACUGUCCAUGUAUUCCACCUGACUCCCAGCUAGGCUGCAUCCUCCACCAUUGGAAUCAAUUUGACCCUGACAACCUAAAAAGAAAACUGUGAUGAUUAAUACUGAGUGUCAACUUGAUUGGAUAGAAGGAUGCAAAGUAUUGAUCCUGGAUGUGUCUGUGAGGGUAUUGCCAAAGGAGAUUAACAUUUGAGUCAGUGGGCUGGGAAAGGCAGACCCACUCUUAAUCUGGGUGGGCACCAUCUAAUUAGCUGCCAGCAUGGCUAGAAUAUAAAGCAGGCAGAAAAACAUGAAAAAACUAGAUUGGCCUAGCCUCCCGGCAUACAUCUUUCUCCUGUGCUGGAUGAUUCCUGCCUUUGAACAUCGGACUCCAAGUUCUUCAGUUUUGGGACUCACACUGGCUUUCCUUGUUCUUCAGCUUGCAGACAGUCUAUUGUGGGAUGUGGUGAUCGUGUGAGUUAAUACUACUUAAUAAACUCAUA